rnacentral:tRNA from 1 species
ACCCUGUUGCGCAAUGGAUAGACCGUUGGACUUCUAAUCCAAAGGUCGUGGGCUCGAAUCCCACAUAGGAUG